rnacentral:misc_RNA from 1 species
UGACAUACCUUCUGGCAGGCUG